ACACAUGCAAGUCGAGCGGUAACAGAGAUAGCUUGCUAUCUGCUGACGAGCGGCGGACGGGUGAGUAAUGCUUGGGAAUAUGCCUUAUGGUGGGGGACAACAGUUGGAAACGACUGCUAAUACCGCAUAACGUCUACGGACCAAAGGGGGGGAUCUUCGGACCUCUCGCCAUUUGAUUAGCCCAAGUGAGAUUAGCUAGUUGGUGAGGUAAAGGCUCACCAAGGCGACGAUCUCUAGCUGGUUUGAGAGGAUGAUCAGCCACACUGGGACUGAGACACGGCCCAGACUCCUACGGGAGGCAGCAGUGGGGAAUAUUGCACAAUGGGCGAAAGCCUGAUGCAGCCAUGCCGCGUGUGUGAAGAAGGCCUUCGGGUUGUAAAGCACUUUCAGUUGUGAGGAAAGGGGUGUAGUUAAUAGCUGCAUUCUGUGACGUUAACAACAGAAGAAGCACCGGCUAACUUCGUGCCAGCAGCCGCGGUAAUACGAGGGGUGCAAGCGUUAAUCGGAAUUACUGGGCGUAAAGCGUUCGUAGGCGGUCUAUUAAGCAAGAUGUGAAAGCCCAGGGCUCAACCUUGGAACUGCAUUUUGAACUGGUAGACUAGAGUACUGUAGAGGGUGGUGGAAUUUCCAGUGUAGCGGUGAAAUGCGUAGAGAUUGGAAGGAACAUCAGUGGCGAAGGCGGCCACCUGGACAGAUACUGACGCUGAGGAACGAAAGCGUGGGGAGCGAACAGGAUUAGAUACCCUGGUAGUCCACGCCGUAAACGAUGUCAACUAGCCGUUUGUGGACUUGAUCCGUGAGUGGCGCAGCUAACGCACUAAGUUGACCGCCUGGGGAGUACGGCCGCAAGGUUAAAACUCAAAUGAAUUGACGGGGGCCCGCACAAGCGGUGGAGCAUGUGGUU
rnacentral:rRNA from 1 species